rnacentral:rRNA from 1 species
AAGCACUUUAUUUGAUUUCCUUCGGGACUGAUUAUUUUGUGACUGAGUGGCGGACGGGUGAGUAACGCGUGGGUAACCUGCCUUGUACAGGGGGAUAACAGUUGGAAACGGCUGCUAAUACCGCAUAAGACCACGGAGCCGCAUGGCUCCGUGGGAAAAACUCCGGUGGUAUAAGAUGGACCCGCGUUGGAUUAGCUAGUUGGUGAGGUAACGGCCCACCAAGGCGACGAUCCAUAGCCGACCUGAGAGGGUGACCGGCCACAUUGGGACUGAGAUACGGCCCAGACUCC